GGUAUAGCUCAAGUGGUAGAGCGCAUGCUUAGCAUAAUGCAUGAGGUCCUGGGUUCAAUCCCCAGGAGUUCCU
rfam:Camelus ferus unplaced genomic scaffold scaffold2123, whole genome shotgun sequence.